rnacentral:rRNA from 1 species
UACGUAGGGUGCAAGCGUUGUCCGGAAUUAUUGGGCGUAAAGGGCUCGUAGGCGGUUUGUCGCGUCGGGAGUGAAAACUCAGGGCUUAACCCUGAGCCUGCUUCCGAUACGGGCAGACUAGAGGUAUGCAGGGGAGAAUGGAAUUCCUGGUGUAGCGGUGAAAUGCGCAGAUAUCGGGAGGAACACCUGUGGCGAAAGCGGCUCUCUGGACCACAACUGACGCUGAGGCGCGAAAGCUAGGGGAGCAAACAGG